rnacentral:rRNA from 1 species
GACAGAGGAUGCAAGCGUUAUCCGGAAUGAUUGGGCGUAAAGCGUCUGUAGGUGGCGUUUUUAAGUCCGCCGUCAAAUCCAGGCUCAACCCUGGACAGGCGGUGGAACUACCAAGCUGGAGUACGGUAGGGCAGAGGGAAUUUCCGGUGGAGCGGUGAAAUGCGUAGAGAUCGGAAAGAACACCAACGGCGAAAGCACUCUGCUGGGCCGACACUGACACUGAGAGACGAAAGCUAGGGGAGCGAAUGGG